GUGCUCACUUCAGCAGCACAUAUACUAAACUUGGAACGAUAGAGAAGAUUAGCAUGGCCCCUGCACGAGGAGGACAGGCAGAUUCGUGAAGUGUUCCGUAUUUUU
ensembl:snRNA U6 U6 spliceosomal RNA